rnacentral:tRNA from 1 species
GGCAAGAGAGCUAUGGCUGACAGUGCUGGUUUCUCAAACCAGAUGUCCUGGGUUCAACUCCAGCCUUGCCC